AUGUCUUUGAUCCGAGUUGUGCUUGGCAUGGCUGCCACCAUGGACUUGGAAAUUGAACAACUUGAUGUGAAGACUGCAUUCUUACAUGGUGACCUAGAGGAGGAGAUAUACAUGGAGCAGCCAGAGGGAUUCAGGAUUGCAGGCAAGGAGCACUUAGUUUGCAAAUUGAAGAAGAGCUUGUAUGGCUUGAAGCAAGCUUCUCGGCCGUGGUACAAGAAUUUUGAGUCUUUUAUGACCGGGCUUGGUUGCCACAAAGCACAACCUGAUCAUUGUGUCUUUAUGAAGAGGUAUGCGGAGGGUGACUUCAUUGUUCUCUUGCUGUAUGUUGAUGAUAUGUUGAUUGUUGGAAAUGGCACAAAGAGGAUUGCUCUCCUCAAGGAGGCAUUGAGUAAAUCAUUUGCCAUGAAGGAUUUAGGACCAGCUAAGCAAAUAUUGGCAUGA
rnacentral:rRNA from 1 species